UACGGAGGAUCCAAGCGUUAUCCGGAUUUAUUGGGUUUAAAGGGUGCGUAGGCGGAAUUGUAAGUCAGUGGUGAAAGCCCUUCGCUUAACGAAGGAACUGCCAUUGAUACUGCAAAUCUUGAGUACAUUUGAUGAGGGCGGAAUGUGUCAUGUAGCGGUGAAAUGCUUAGAUAUGACACAGAACACCGAUUGCGAAGGCAGCUCUCAAAACUGUAACUGACGCUGAGACACGAAAGCGUGGGGAGCAAACAGG
rnacentral:rRNA from 1 species